UUUGAUCUCUGGUGAUAUAUAUUUCCCAAGACGGUUCGUUUGGCCGGGACUUUUCAUUUUUGUGGCUUUUCGUGUGAGGGUGUUCGAGAGAGUUCCAUCUUCUCUUUGUAUCGAGGGUUUCUGAUUUCCCUCAUUUUGUCUAACAUCUCAUUCUAAAAUUGUGGUUUUGAUGUUUUAGCCAUAGAAUACUUGUAUUUUCUUGAGUGAAAAUAUGUAAGAACGAGAGGGUUUCAUGUGUUGAGAUCGGAGAAAGUGGUAUGUCGAUUCUUGAGUGAUCUCCGGUAGAUCUAUUGACUUCUUAAAGAGAUAAGUCUCUUCCUUUGUGUAUUCUUUUUGAGGCAUUUAAUGCAAUCGAGCAAUAUCCAUUCUUGAUUAGAUUUUCAACAGGGGAUUAGGUGUUGAAAGAAUGCUGAGCUUCUGGGAAUUCGGCCGAAAAUUCUAUUGUGUUCAUUUUACUUGUAUGCAAGUUUAUUUUCUAUUUUAUUGUUGAUCGACUGUAUCUUGUAAUUAAUCGUGUGAGUUUGGCCUCCCUUUCGGUAAAUGAAAAAAAAAAAAAUACUAAUUGAGCUUUGGCACAAAGAAUAUGUAGAAUUGAAUCAAUCUCCAACAUGUGGUCUUUGAAAUUGUUAUGUCUAGAAGGUAACCCUCUGCUUUGCCCUUUGAACUAUCUGAGGUGUUUAUAAAACCUACUGUAGGAAAUAAGCAGAAAAAUUCAAAUUGCUCAUGAAAAGGUUAACACUCUUUUUGAUAUUGUACCCAAGUUUUGCUACUUUGAACACCCAUCCAAUCUCGAUGAAAAUAGAACAGCAAAGAAAGGGUUAAACAUUGGUAGGGAGAAAGACGCACAUGUUGUUCCGUGGUAUUUAUGUAUGGCUUUAUAUAUGCUGUGAAAGGUUGUUUGAAUAUUGAACCAACAAGGACAAUGUUUAAUCCACAGGAGCAUAACUAAACACAAUAAUUUGGUUGGGAAUGUAGUAUGUAAACUUAAACAAA
rnacentral:lncRNA from 1 species